GACGAACGCUGGCGGCGUGCCUAAUACAUGCAAGUCGAACGCUUCUUUCCUCCCGAGUGCUUGCACUCAAUUGGAAAGAGGAGUGGCGGACGGGUGAGUAACACGUGGGUAACCUACCCAUCAGAGGGGGAUAACACUUGGAAACAGGUGCUAAUACCGCAUAACAGUUUAUGCCGCAUGGCAUAAGAGUGAAGGGCGCUUUCGGGUGUCGCUGAUGGAUGGACUCGCGGUGCAUUAGCUAGUUGGUGAGGUAACGGCUCACCAAGGCCACGAUGCAUAGCCGACCUGAGAGGGUGAUCGGCCACACUGGGACUGAGACACGGCCCAGACUCCUACGGGAGGCAGCAGUAGGGAAUCUUCGGCAAUGGACGAAAGUCUGACCGAGCAACGCCGCGUGAGUGAAGAAGGUUUUCGGAUCGUAAAACUCUGUUGUUAGAGAAGAACAAGGACGUUAGUAACUGAACGUCCCCUGACGGUAUCUAACCAGAAAGCCACGGCUAACUACGUG
rnacentral:rRNA from 1 species